CAACCUACCUUAAUCAGGGGGAUAGCCCGAAGAAAUUCGGAUUAACACCGCAUAAAAACACAGGGCAGCUUUGUCCAAUGUUCAAAUAUUUAUAGGAUUAAGAUGGGCAUGCGUGUCAUUAGCUAGUUGGCGGGGUAACGGCCCACCAAGGCGACGAUGACUAGGGGAUCUGAGAGGAUGACCCCCCACACUGGUACUGAGACACGGACCAGACUCCUACGGGAGGCAGCAGUAAGGAAUAUUGGUCAAUGGAGGGAACUCUGAACCAGCCAUGCCGCGUGCAGGAAGACGGCCCUCUGGGUUGUAAACUGCUUUUAUUCGGGAAUAAACCUGCUUACGUGUAAGUAGCUGAAUGUACCGAAGGAAUAAGGAUCGGCUAACUCCGUGCCAGCAGCCGCGGUAAUACGGAGGAUCCAAGCGUUAUCCGGAUUUAUUGGGUUUAAAGGGUGCGUAGGCGGCUUAUUAAGUCAGGGGUGAAAGACGGUGGCUCAACCAUCGCAGUGCCCUUGAUACUGAUGAGCUUGAAUGGACUAAAGGUAGGCGGAAUGUGACAAGUAGCGGUGAAAUGCAUAAAUAUGUCACAGAACACGAAUUCCGCGUGUAGC
rnacentral:rRNA from 1 species